UGGCCAACCACCUCAUCUCCAGUGUGCAAACAUGCAUGUUGUUGACUGUAAGCUUACCAGAAACUCUCGAUGUGAUUCAGAUGUGCCGUAUAACAACAGGCUGUGUCUGGAAGAACCUAAUGUAGAUGUACAUGAGGGUGAUUCUGGUGGUGGAGUGAUUUACAACAACAUGAUUUAUGGUGUAAUCAAGAGCACUGGUAAACGUGUCUGUACUGGACCAGUUGUUACUGUAAAAGUCUGUCCUUACAUGAAAUGGAUAAACCAGAAAAUUAAUCCAAAAAGUAAUGGAAAAUAACUGAAUGAAAAUAACAUUCAGAAUAAACAAUCAUCUCUACAUGAAA